UGGGGAAUAUUGCGCAAUGGGCGAAAGCCUGACGCAGCAACGCCGCGUGAGUGAUGAAGGCCUUCGGGUCGUAAAGCUCUGUCGGAGGGAACGAAUGCUCCUGAAGUUAACAGCCUCAGGAGGUGACGGUACCCUCAAAGGAAGCACCGGCUAACUCUGUGCCAGCAGCCGCGGUAAUACAGAGGGUGCAAGCGUUGUUCGGAAUCAUUGGGCGUAAAGGGCGCGUAGGCGGUCAACUAAGUCAGACGUGAAAUCCCUCGGCUUAACCGGGGAACUGCGUCUGAUACUGGAUGGCUUGAGGUUGGGAGAGGGAUGCGGAAUUCCAGGUGUAGCGGUGAAAUGCGUAGAUAUCUGGAGGAACACCGGUGGCGAAGGCGACAUCCUGGACCAAUUCUGACGCUGAGGAGCGAAAGCCAGGGGAGCAAACGGGAUUAGAUACCCAAGUAGUCCCUGAGCGGGCUGGCAAGGCGCAU
rnacentral:rRNA from 1 species